rnacentral:tRNA from 1 species
GUUUUUUCCGAACGGCGGUCUUACCGGUCUGCAAAACCGUUUACAGCGGUUCGAAUCCGCUAGGAACCUC